rnacentral:lncRNA from 1 species
GGAUAAUUGGAGGGACAUAAUGGAAGGAGUGCAUUAGCGAGGGUCUGCGCAGGCGCACUUUACCCAGGGCUUCCUGUAAGUGGUCGCUUGCUGGGCAGAAUCUAUUUUCUCCCUGGGACACCCAUUACAGCUUCGCGGGAUAGAAACCAUGGUGCCCUGUUCUUGGCACUGAGGAGGAGCAAACUAAGGUGAUGAGCUGAAUUUUCAGGAGAGGAUUCUGAGGAAUGGAGAAAAAAUAUGCCCAAGUGAAGCUGGCCAGGCCAGCCUUCUGUGACUUCCUAACCGAUAGUUCAGGAAGAGGAUGGGGCCAGGAUUGGAGACUUUAGUCGUACAAUAACAUUAUCCAUGCAACUACCUAACAUCCAAAAAGGGAAGACCCAGCUUCUCCUCGGGCCUUGGAGAGGAGCACCGUCAUGUUGAUACAGUGUUUCCAUCCUGCGGGACUACAGAACCCAACAACAGUAAGGUUGUGCUUUCAGCUCCACAGCUGAGUCAGUUUGUUACAAUCCCAGUUAAAUACUAAUACAGCGACAGAAUGGAAGAUAUUUUAUAGUGAGUACCACCAUCCUCAACACACAUACCUCUGUAUCUGUACCCCUAGUUUCCUUGGUGGCUGGGCAUGGGCACUUGUUCUGUUUGACUGAGUACUGCGGAUAACAUGGCCGUCUCUUUCCCCACAGCCAUAUGCUUUUUGGCACCACUGGGUUAGCUUUUUCACUGGUGUUUGUUUCUGGCAUCUUCACUUGUAUCCCAGUAUCCCAGUAUCCCAGUAUCCCAGUAUCCCAGUAUCCCAGUAUCCCAGUAUCCCAGUAUCCCAGCAUCCCAGCAUCCCAGCAUCCCAGCAUCCCAGCAUCCCAGCAUCCCAGCAUCCAAGCAUCCCAGUAUCCCAGUAUAUCAUCCCAGUAUCUUAGUAUCCCAGUAUCCAGUAUCCCAGUAUCCCAGUAUCCAGUAUCCCAGUAUCCCAGUACAAAGGAACUUUAGAAGUUUCCCCUGACAUGUGGUCCACACCUCUCACCACUUGCUAAUCACCCACUCUAUGCCAGGAUCUCGAUGGGGUUUAUUUUAUUUACUUCUUAAAACAGCUUUAUGAAUUAACAUCAUCUUCACUAUACAAACAGGAAACCUGAGGCUCAGAGGCACUAUGUGUUCCAACCUAAGGACACAAGGCAAAGAAUUAAGAUCGAAUCCAAGAGAAAAUACCAUCUCUCUGCAUAUGUCCUCUUGAGGGGGGCAAGUUGUCUCAAGGUGAAGCUAGUGAGUCUGCUGGCCUCAGAUCUACACAACUGACGGAUCUGCAGGGCACUGGCUCAGUCUGUGUGACCUUUGGCUGCUUUGUUUUUCUGCCGACCCAGUGUGUAGACGAGGGCACUGCCAUUUGGAUCCUUGAGACACUGCAGCCGUCAGGAGAGCAUGCUACCCUCUCCUCUUCUCAGAGCAUAUGCAUUUGCUUCUUCUUAACAGACUUACAGAAGACACAGCCUGAGGGUUUGCAGGGGCGAGUGGUGAGGGAUGAGUUUGCAGAGGGUGCCCUGGGAGAAGCUGUGCUGCUUUGUCCUUUACCACUUGCCUCUGGCUCCCCUUUUUAUAACCCAGGCUCUGGUAGUGUGU